CUGGCUCAGGAUGAACGCUAGCUACAGGCUUAACACAUGCAAGUCGAGGGGCAGCAUGGGAUAGCUGCAUUCAGAUGGCGACCGGCGCACGGGUGAGUAACGCGUAUCCAACCUUCCUGCCAGUAGGGAACAGCCCGGCGAAAGUCGGGAUUAAUGCCCUAUGUUCUUCAAUGCGGACAUCUAAGUUGAAGGAAAGAUUCAUCGCUGGCAGAUGGGGAUGCGUCCGAUUAGCUUGCCGGCGGGGUAACGGCCCACCGGGGCGACGAUCGGUAGGGGUUCUGAGAGGAAGGUCCCCACACUGGUACUGAGACACGGACCAGACUCCUACGGGAGGCAGCAGUGAGGAAUAUUGGUCAAUGGGCGUAAGCCUGAACCAGCCAAGUAGCGUGCAGGAAUGACGGCCCUACGGGUUGUAAACUGCUUUUAUGCGGGGAUAAAGUGCGGCACGUGUGCCGCUUUGCAGGUACCGCAUGAAUAAGGACCGGCUAAUUCCGUGCCAGCCGCAGC
rnacentral:rRNA from 1 species